UACGUAGGGUGCAAGCGUUGUCCGGAAUUAUUGGGCGUAAAGAGCUCGUAGGCGGUCUGUCGCGUCGGCUGUGAAAACUCGGGGCUCAACCCCGAGCCUGCAGUCGAUACGGGCAGACUAGAGUGCGGUAGGGGAGACUGGAAUUCCUGGUGUAGCGGUGAAAUGCGCAGAUAUCAGGAGGAACACCGGUGGCGAAGGCGGGACUCUGGGCCGAUACUGACGCUGAGGAGCGAAAGCGUGGGGAGCAAACAGG
rnacentral:rRNA from 1 species